rnacentral:lncRNA from 1 species
UGGAGAGCGGCUCCUUUCUUCUCUCAGGAAAGGUUCCCCACGCCUGACAGCCCCACCAUUCUGGUUAAGCUUAAUUAGUCAAGAGAGAAAAAGAACUGACUUCGGAGUGUUGUGUUACGUUUGGGGCUCCCCCCUUUUUUUCCCCUUUCCACUCAAAAUUUGACAUUCUUUGGAGAAGAUGAAGUUCCAAGUGGGAUCUGUGUUGGCACUUCCCACCCUCUCGUCAUCCUCACGUGGGACCCGCUUCUCACGGCCCAUCUUUUGUCUACCAGGGGCCUCGCAGGACUCUGCACAGCCCGCACAAAGGACGUAGGAUUCUGCACUGGCAGAACUGGAUGUAAUGUUGCCCUGAGAAACAUUCAUUUAUUUCAGAGUGAAACCCGUUAAAAUGGAAGUGUGUAGGAUUUGGGUUGGCUGGAUGCAAGCUUCCCUCUGCAGCGGGAUGAGGCUGCCACUACCAGGAGCACGCUGGCCUGCCGGCGGGAGGAACAGAUGCCAGAGGAGACCUGACUGUGUCCUCAAGGCCAUGCCCCAUCAGCCAUCCCAGCAGAGCCCACAGCCACCCACAGAGGAAUGAGGAUCCCCAUCCAGGAUCACCGGAACUGCACAACUGACUCACAAACGUGUGAAGAGUAAUGGGUAACGUGUUGAACUGUGAGCCUUUGAGCCUGGGGAGGUUUGUGAUGCAGCAGUAGCUCCCAGACCCUUGAGGCUCUUCGGCACGAAGGUGCUGAGCCAUGCACCUAUGCAAAGCCAAACUCUGCACUAGGCCUACUGGGGUGUGCAGAGAGAGAGGGCUGAACAAACUGCGGUUCCACCCAGAAGACCCAGAAGAACAUUUACGGAGGAGUCAGUGCAAGAGGCGAGAGAGCAUGCGUGAAGAGGCUCGUUCUUGUGGUGUAGAAAAGGAGGCCAGAGUCUCCCAGACCACGAUUCUUUUCCUUUAGGUGUUUCUUGGGCAUUUUCAAUCUUAAAUCUCUUCCCAUGUUAUUGAGAUUUCUGAUUGAAUGUCCCCAUUUUCCCUCAGACAGCAGGCCGUGUGUGAGUCACCACCUCCAUCUUUCUAUGUCCUGGGUGUGGGCCCAGUGAAGGACAGUUAUGGAAAUUUAGAGAGAAGAGGUCGCAGGUGUGGUGGGGGUGGUGAAGCUUCAGAAGAGAAAAGAAGCAUGGUGGAGAGGGUGGACUCUGGAGGCUACUGCAGAGCUCUCCCCCAGGCUAUGAGGGGGCAUGAUGGUCCCAAUAGCCUGAGUCUGUGUUCAUUUCAACUGGCUACCUUGUGACGAGGAAGAUGGCCCAGGUUCCCAGUGGGAAAUCUAUGGUUAUCAUUAAGAACGCAGGGCCUGAGAUGAAACCUGGCAGGUGAAAGGCACCUGGUUUUAUGCAACCUGGUUUUGCAGAAGCCUGUGGGAGGGGGCCCAGGGGGGAAGGGAGCAGAGGGCAGUGUUGGCUCUGGUUCCCCCACCAGGCAGGUGGGCUAGCACCUGGGUAAGGGGCUUUGCAUCUGGAGCUGGUCAUGCCUCAGUCCAGAUCCUGCCUUUAUCAGUUGAUGGGCUGUUACCUGCCAGUGGUUAUGGUGAGGACUAAAUUACGGAAAGUCAUCAAGGAUCUUCAUUCAUUGCCCACCACAGAGCAGGCACUCAAUGGAGAACACUCACCACCAUCUAUGUUGUUAAUGUUGCAUCUGCAGCCCUUGGUUUCCUGGAAAGACUCUACAGUACAGGGGCAGGUUAGGGGCCACAACCAGGAAACAAGACACAUCUGAGAGAAUGCAUGGGAGCUUAUGGAAGGAUGUACAAGGCUGGGUGUGGGAAUCCCGGCACUUCGGGAGGCUAAGGUGGAAGGAUCACUUGCAUCCAGGAUUCAAGCCUAGCCUGGCCACGUAGUGAGACCCCAGCUCUACAAAAAAUCAAAAAUCAACUGGGCAUGGUGGCAUGUGCCUCUAAUCCAAGCUACUCAGGAAGCAGAGAUGGGAGGAUCGCUUGAGCCCAGGAGGUUGAGGCUGCAGUGAGCUGAGAUCAUACCACUGCACUCAUUCUGGGCAACAGAGUGAAACCCUGUCUCAAAAAUAUAAAUAAAUAAAUAAAUAAAUAAAUAAAUAAAGAAAGAAAGAAAGAAAGAAAGAAUUUACAAGAGGGGAGUUUUAGUGGUUGAAAAAUCAUUCACUCAUUCCAGGAGCAAGAGCCUUGUGGGUUUUCUUCCUGUUCUUGCCUGGGUUAUCUCUACUGAACCAAAGAAUCCUUGUUAGGAAUGCUCUGGUGGUGUCAAUCAAUGCGUUUAUAAAUCAUUUGCUUUUACCAUGGAAAAAGAUAUCACAAAACAACACAGCUGUAGUGCAGGUGCAGAUGACCAUGGAACGGCAGCCUGGCGUUUUCAGUAGAGCACUGGGCAGCAGAGUCCCUGGGCCUCGGAACCCCGGCCUGUUACCACCCAACACCAUCCCUGGGCAAAAUGCGAAACUCCCAUCAGAUCCAUGAAUGGAAAAUGGGCGUAAUUAUAAUUGCACCCCACUCUCUACCUCUCAGCUAAGGUGAGAAAUGAAUAUGAGGAUGCUCAGUGAAAAUGCUUUGAAGUCUGUGAAAUGCGAAGCAAAUGUGAAGCGAGAGGAAUAAUAAGGUUCUAAGGACCCACACUUGGGCGUUUGCUCUGAGCUGGCCCCUGUCCUCCACACUGAACCUACAGCCUCUCCUCUCACCUAAUCUGCACAAAAAUCUUACGAAGCAGACACACUUACCAUGCUGGCCUUUCCGUGAAAUUUCAGGUCUUAGUGUCGCCCAUUACUGGUGGCAUUUCAUGCCACAAGUUGGGCCAUCUGCACCUCCAAGCACAGGGUCACAGAAGACUUUAUCCCGUCCCUUGGGCUGACUGAAUGGUUGGUUUGUGUCAACCCCUGUUGUCCCUUUGAGCAACUCGGGGGCAAUGGUUAUGGGUAGGGCUUAAAAAACCGUCUGGCUGCAAACCCAGUGCUGAUACGAACAAGGCCUAGUCAGGCACUAAGUGUUUUGUGUUCCCCAAAGAGAUCUUAAUGAAAUCCCAGCAUGCCACUCACUCCUACACUUAAAAUACCUUUUAAGUGUAGGAAAGAAAGUGCUUUCAACCCCACCCCAGCCAUUUGGAUUCGGAGACUCCAUUUAAGAUGCACAGCUUUCCUCCAGCACAGGGGCUGGGUAUCCAAACGCAGAGCCUCCCCCAGACUCUCUCUAGGCUUAGCCUGGCUUGGUGGGCUCAGGAGGGAUUCAAGAUUAUUUCAUCCUUUAUGUCCAUUCGAUGACAGUUUAUCAUCAUUGCCACCUCAUACUCUAUUGUAGCCAAACAUCAUAACCAGCACCAUGUGAACUACGUCACUGACGCCACAUUCUUUUUCUCGGCUGUCACUAGGCUCAGGUCAGGACAGCCCUCCCGGCUGACUUCCGCGAUACUUUCUGUAUCUCCUUUUCAGUCUGCCCUAAAAUGACAGCUGGACUUCCGACAGUGGUUUCUUAUGUGGGACACAUGGCUCUUAUACUCUGGGUGGCACGGAUUCCUUUAUUGCCAGUGGCUUAAUUUUCCCAGAUCUAUUUCCAUGCAGACAGUGUGAGGUUGGACUUCAUGCCUCAUGCUCCUGAUUGGGGCUCGGAAGUCUAACCCAGCUUCCUGCAGUGCCGCCCCCAGCUUAUUCAAUGCCCAACCUGCAGGUCCUAAGUUGAACCCGCACACUGCACGCUCACCUGGUCUGUGCUGCCAGCUGCAUUGGAAAUGGAAGCAUUAAACACCGUUCUCCACUGUCAGCCACCUGCUAGCUAAUGAGUGACAUCAUUUAACACUGUUUUGAAAAGAGAGAUUUAAAGUUGUUUUGAAAACUGAAGGAAAAAUACAAAUGUUUGAGUGUUAAACAUUUUGCCCAAAUACUAAAAUGUGAAUGUCUUUUUAUUGUGACAGUUCACAGGAAAGCGGGCUAUAGCAUGCCUGUGCUUGUCAAUGAAAAUCUUAGCACUGAGUUUGGUAAACAUUCUGGCAGUCGGGAAGCCACUUAAAAAUAAAGUUUAAAGAAAAGAAAGAGAAGUGUUCACUUUCCUUCUAAUUUUCCCAGAUACGCUCAAUAUUCUGCUUUAUUUUUUAGUAUUUUAACUAAAAUAAGAAAACUCGGAUUCUACCUCUAUGUGUCCUAUGAUUGUUGUUGUUUUCUCUGAUUAUAAAAUACAGGUUUGCAGCAGAAAACUUGGCAAAACAGAGAUAUGAAGAAUAAAAUAAAAAUCACCUGUAGUUCUAAGCCAUGAGAAUAAUCAUAUAUAUAUUCCCUAGGUAUUCUGAAGCAUAUGUAUUACAGUCCAAAUAUUUAAAAACAAAAUUUGGGUAAUACUUUAGAUAGAGAGUUGUAUUCUGAUUUUUUCUAUUAAUAUUAUAACUUUGAAACGAGGGACUUCACCAUUGCUUUUAUUUUUCUUUGCUAUGUAAGUACUUAUGUUCUUUAUGAGGAAAAUAAAAACUAUAGAAAAGAAAGAUAAGAAAAUAAAAUCAGUAAUAAUCCCCUCACUUACAAAUGACUGCUGUUAACAUUUUAGUUUUUUGGUUUCUAUCUAUUUAUGUGAAAUUUGAAUGAAAAUAGUAUAAUUUCGCUGUCUCUAUAUUGCUUGGUAACAUAAUGAUUUAACUGUAUAAUAAAUAGUAUAUUACAUGAAUAUUUUGAGUAAUAGUCUGUGUGAUAAUUUUUAUUCGGUGUGUGGUGUUCCACUACAUAAAUGUAUUAUAGUUUAUUUCACAAAUAAACUCUUAUCAGAA